AAAGCUCAUGUUGUCGGAAUUUGGUUUUUCUCCUAUUGUCUUUAAUCUUAUCAUGAGUUGCACGGGCAAAAGUGGCGGACGUGUUGGGGGAUUUCUAGAGAGAGAAGUUCUAACUUCUCUCUACCUCUCCUCCCGAGCUCUGUUUAGGGUUUCCCUAAACAUCUAAGUGGUGGUUUUCCCCAGCACCUCCUAGCCCUCCCCAGCACCUCCUGGUCUACCCCAACACCUCCUGGUUCCCUGUUUUCUCUCUUUUCGUUGUGUUUAUGUCUGGAUUCAGAUCCAGAUCUUGUUUCUGAUUGAAGUUUGGAAAGGGUUGAUGUGUUGUUGUUGAUGUCUUCACAACCCUUCACUGCCAUAGCCUCUCCUCCCUUGACACGCCCACCACCAGAUCCACCGCCCUCCUCCCUCAUGUCAUGAUCCCUCCUCCACCAGCAAAUGUUUUCGCAAAGAGAGUUCCACCAAAGCCACCAUGGAUUGUCGACAGAUUUGAGCCCUCAAGGGUGAAUGUUUCAAAUUUGGUUAACUAUGUUUCUUAUGAUGUUUCCUUGUUUUUCAUGUUCUACUUGUGUUGUUGUGUCUCUGUUUUUAACUUAAAUAUGUUGUUAUGUCUUUGUUUUCCAAGCUCUACUUGUGUUGUUGUGUUUUUUGCUGUUGUAAGUGCCUUUACAAUAUCCCUUUUGGGUAAUUUGUGCUUCCAAGAUGUCAAUGGUAAAGCUGCACUCUACAUGUUUGUUAAAAUGCCCCAAAUGAGAUGGAUGUUGUCUGGGAAGAAGGACAGGGCAGAUGCACAUGAUGCUGUUAAUACCAACUUGUGCAACUCCUCCUUGUUUCAAUUCUAUUCCAAACGUGUGUUAAAUCUUGACAUAAUCGAGACCACUUAUAGUCGAACUGAGCUUGCAUCCGUAGCCAAUUUGAUCCGUAACUGGAUAGAUAUAAAGACUGUGGAUUCUCUUAUUUUCGUUGUCAUGGACCGUGUGCGGAAGUCAUUGCAAGCAAGGUUAUUAGUCCGUAGAUGUUGGGUGAACAACACCAGUUUAGCUACUAGUCAAUCUUUGUUUAAUGAUGAUUAUCAUAUCUUGUUAGGCUUUAUUUGUAAUGGUUUUCAUUUAUCUUGUUGGAGAUGUUUCAAACACCCUAGAUGAUUGAAUGAAUUUGCUUUGAUUGAAUGAAUUUGCUUUACC
rnacentral:lncRNA from 1 species